rnacentral:rRNA from 1 species
GAGGCGGGCUGGACCUCUCGGGGUUACAGCCUUGCUGAAUUAUUCACCCUUGUCUUUUGCGUACUUCUUGUUUCCUUGGUGGGUUCGCCCACCACUAGGACAAACAUAAACCUUUUGUAAUUGCAAUCAGCGUCAGUAACAAAUUAAUAAUUACAACUCCCAACAACGCAUCUCUUGGUUCUGGCAUCGAUGAAGAACGCAGCGAAAUGCGAUAAGUAGUGUGAAUUGCAGAAUUCAGUGAAUCAUCGAAUCUUUAAACGCACAUUGCGCCCUUUGGUAUUCCAAAGGGCAUGCCUCUUCGAGCGUCAUUUGUACCCGCAAGCUUUGGUUGGUGUUGGGCGUCUUGUCUCUAGCUUUGCUGGAGACUCGCCUUAAAGUAAUUGGCAGCCGGCCUACUGGUUUCGGAGCGCAGCACAAGUCGCACUCUCUAUCAGCAAAGGUCUAGCAUCCAUUAAGCCUUUUUUUUCAACUUUUGACCUCGGAUCAGGUAGGGAUACCCGCUGAACUUAAGCAUAUCAAUAAGCGGAGGAAA